AUACGGAGGGUGCAAGCGUUAUUCGGAAUCACUGGGCGUAAAGGACGCGUAGGCGGGUUGGCAAGUCAGAUGUGAAAUCCUACAGCUUAACUGUAGAACUGCAUUUGAAACUGCUAACCUAGAGCAUGGGAGGGGGAGAUGGAAUUAGUGGUGUAGGGGUAAAAUCCGUAGAUAUCACUAGGAAUACCGAAAGCGAAGGCGAUCUCCUGGAACAUAACUGACGCUAAGGCGUGAAAGCGUGGGGAGCAAACAGGAUUAGAUACCCUAGUAGUCC
rnacentral:rRNA from 1 species